rnacentral:rRNA from 1 species
CCAAUAGCGUAUAUUAAAGUUGUUGCAGUUAAAAAGCUCGUAGUUGAAUUUCGAGAUCAAUUUUCUUGGUCAUACCUUUGUAUGUACUGGUCUUAUUGAUUUCUCCCUUCUGAUGAACCAUAAUGUCAUUAAUUUGGUGUUUUGGGGAAUCAGGACUAUUACUUUGAAAAAAUUAGAGUGUUUAAAGCAGGCUCACGCUUGAAUACUUUAGAAUGGAAUAAUGAAAUAGGACAUUUGAUUCUAUUUUGUUGGUUUCUAGGAUUGACGUAAUGAUUAAUAGGGAUAGUUGGGGGCAUUAGUAUUCAAUUGUCAGAGGUGAAAUUCUUGGAUUUAUUGAAGACUAACUACUGCGAAAGCAUUUGCCAAAGAUGUUUUCAUUAAUCAAGAACGAAAGUUAGGGGAUCGAAGACGAUCAGAUACCGUCGUAGUCUUAACCAUAAACUAUGCCGACUAGGAAUCGGAUGAUGUUAAUUUUUUAAUGACUCAUUCGGCGCCUUACG